rnacentral:rRNA from 1 species
CGGGACGGGUGAGUAAUGUCUGGGAAACUGCCUGAGGGAGGGGGAUAACUACUGGAAACGGUAGCUAAUACCGCAUAACGUCGCAAGACCAAGAGGGGACCUUCGGGCCUCUUGCCAUCGGAUGUGCCCAGAUGGGAUUAGCUAGUAGGUGGGGUAACGGCUCACCUAGGCGACGAUCCCUAGCUGGUCUGAGAGGAUGACCAGCCACACUGGAACUGAGACACGGUCCAG